GUUGGAUAGGAUUUCUAUAAUAUCUAGAGAUCUGCUAAUUGGAUCAAGGUGAAAUUUGGCAUCAUAUUGAAAAACUUGAAGAUCAAGCUGUACACCAAUUUUGAAUUGAAGUUAAUGAUUAAAGAAGGAGAAAUAAUUGCUAGAACUUUUGGUUCACCUUUCAAGUUGGCAGCUGAGUGAUAUCAAUGCAAUUUUUGGAGGUUUCCUCAUAAUUUGUAAGUUAGAUUGGACUAAAAAUUCUUAAGCAUAUAGAAGACUUACAUUGACAUUUGUAUACAAAAUUUUACAUUAAGUAGAUAGUGAGAUUAGAAGUUACAGCUUAUCAAAGCUCAUUGAUUGGGGUUGGAGGUUACAAGAAAAAUCUAAAUUGCUUAAAUAUGAAAGUAACAAGGUAAUUGAGAUUUAUGU
rnacentral:lncRNA from 1 species